GACGAACGCUGGUGGCGUGCCUAAUACAUGCAAGUAGAACGCUGAAGGAGGAGCUUGCUUCUCUGGAUGAGUUGCGAACGGGUGAGUAACGCGUAGGUAACCUGCCUGGUAGCGGGGGAUAACUAUUGGAAACGAUAGCUAAUACCGCAUAAUAGUAGAUGUCGCAUGACAUUUGCUUAAAAGGUGCAAUUGCAUCACUACCAGAUGGACCUGCGUUGUAUUAGCUAGUUGGUGAGGUAACGGCUCACCAAGGCAACGAUACAUAGCCGACCUGAGAGGGUGAUCGGCCACACUGGGACUGAGACACGGCCCAGACUCCUACGGGAGGCAGCAGUAGGGAACCUUCGGCAAUGGACGGAAGUCUGACCGAGCAACGCCGCGUGAGUGAAGAAGGGUUUCGGAUCGUAAAGCUCUGUUGUAAGAGAAGAACGAGUGUGAGAGUGGAAAGUUCACACUGUGACGGUAUCUUACCAGAAAGGGACGGCUAACUACGUG
rnacentral:rRNA from 1 species